rnacentral:RNase_P_RNA from 1 species
GAGGAAAGUCCAAAACUUUUUAAGUAUAUAUGUUUAUUAUAUAAGCUUUAUAUAAAUAUAAGGAUUUUAACAGAAACUAAAAAUAAAUAAUACGUUAAAUUUAUAAUAGCGAACAUUACUCCAAUACUUAGUUUUAAUUUAGAACUAUAUAUAAAAAAUAUAUAUUAAUAUUUUUUUACAGAAACUGGCUUAA